AUGCAUCACUUCUUCCUCUUCCUCUUCCUCCUCGUUUUCUUGCUUCCCCAUGAAACCAGCUACUCCACGGCCAUAGCUUCCGGCGGCGGCGACUUGUGCAGCCGGCGGUGCGGCGGUACCACCGUCCCAUAUCCUUUCGGAUUCUCCCCCGGCUGCCCCAUCGUCCUGUCGUGCGACGCCAGCAUCUCCACGCCGAUCCUCCCAUACAUAGGAGACAACGGCAUCAUGUACCGCGUCAUAGCCUUCAACUCAACCACCUCCACCGUUGUCGUCGGCCUUCCGCCGUCGUGCAGCCGCAGCGUCCCCGAGGCCAGGAGGGUGCUCUCCGGGGGCAACUACGGCGUGUCGUCUCGCACCGGUCUUUUCCUCCGCGGCGGCUGCAGCGGGAUCAACGCGUCGGCGGCCGCCGGAUGCAGCGUGCCCAUGGGCGUCAUGUCCAGGCUGCUCCGCACGGCGCAGUGCGUCGGCCUCGGCAACGACACCUCGCCCGCCGCUGUGGCGUGCGUCGCUUCCCGUCCGGCAAACUCCACCGCGGCGGUGCAUGACCAGUUUCUUCUGUGGGAGAAGGUCGAGAAGCAAAAGUGCGACGACGUGUUAACCUCCACGGUGUUGGUGCUCACGGUGGAGGGGACGGCUACGCUGGAGUUCGGCGAGGCCGAGCUCGGCUGGUGGCUCAACGGGACGUGCGCCGACGGCGUGGAGCGUUGCGCGGCGAACGCGACGUGCACCGACGUACAAACGCCUGGCGGGGAGUUGGGGCACCGGUGCGAGUGCGCGGCGGGGAUGGAGGGCGACGGCUUCUCGGCCGGCGACGGAUGCUACCUCGUCGUGCCUGAGGUCGAUCAUGCGCGACAUAAUCCAAUCUCCAUAGUGCAUCCCCUGCGUGGUGUCUCAAGCUCGAAGCGACGAAGACUACCCCUGCUCGUCAGCUUUUCUCUCGGCAUCUUUUCCCUCGGCAUCUUUUCCCUCUUCCUCAUACACCGGCGGAGAAGGCGUAAUACCAUGACGAAGACAACCAAACAGAUGCCGAAAAAGGCAAUGACACACUUCCAUGAUGAACUUGUGGAGGCUGAGCUGGAGCAAGGAGUCAGUGACCCCCGGCCAUUUUCCUACCAGGAGCUCACGGUCGCCACCGACAACUUCUCCGAAGAUAGGGCACUCGGGAGAGGAGGCUUUGGGUCUGUGUAUCGAGGGUUUCUGGGCGACAUGAACCGCGAAGUGGCUGUCAAGAGGGUGUCUGAGACCUCUCGGCAGGGCUGGAAGGAGUUCAUCUCGGAGGUACGAAUCAUUAGUCGGCUUAGGCACCGGAACCUUGUGCGACUCAUUGGCUGGUGCCAUGGUGGCGAAGAGCUCCUCCUCGUCUACGACCUGAUGCACAAUGGCAGCCUCGACACUCAUCUCUACAGACCAGACUGUGUGCUGACAUGGCCGGUUAGGUAUGAAAUAGUGCUCGGCCUAGGUUUGGCGCUUCUGUACCUGCACCAAGAUACGGAGCAGCGCGUGGUGCACAGGGACAUCAAGCCAAGCAACAUCAUGUUGGACGCGUUUUUUACUGCUAAGCUAGGCGAUUUCGGCCUUGCAAGGCUCAUCAACGACGGCCGGAGAUCGCACACGACCGGCAUAGCCGGCACGAUGGGGUAUAUAGAUCCGGAGACCGUAUUGGCCGGCAGGGCGAGCGUCGAGUCAGACAUGUAUAGCUAUGGAGUCGUCCUCCUGGAAGUCACUUGUGGGCGACGGCCAACUUUGAUCCAAGAAGACGGUGAUAUCGUCCACCUGGUCCAAUGGGUGUGGGACUUGUACAGCAGAGGAUCAGUCCUCAACGCCGCCGAUCAGCGGCUUAAGGGGGAGUUCGAUGGCGAGCAGAUGGAGCGUGUGAUGGUCUUGGGGCUCUGGUGUGGGCACCCUGACCGUAGCAUGCGGCCAUCCAUCAGGCAAGCAGUGAGCGUGCUGCGUUCUGAAGCGCCAUUGCCGAGCCUACCGGCGAGGAUGCCGGUGGCGACGUAUGGGCCACCGACUGAUCCUUUGAGUUCCGGAAUUUUGGUGCUAAGCAGAGUCAGUGGCCGGUGA
rnacentral:rRNA from 1 species